GAUGAAGAACGUAGCGAAAUGCGAUAAGUAAUGUGAAUUGCAGAAUUCAGUGAAUCAUCGAAUCUUUGAACGCACAUUGCGCCCGCCAGCACUCUGGCGGGCAUGCCUGUUCGAGCGUCAUUUCAACCAUCAAGCCCCCAGGGGCUUGUGCUGGGGCCCUGCGGCUGCCCGCAGGCCCUGAAAACCAGUGGCGGCUCGCUAGUCACACCGAGCGCAGUAGCACAUCUCGCUCAGGGCGUGCGGCGGGCUCCUGCCGUGAAACCCCCCACUGUAACCCCAAAGGUUGACCUCGGAUCAGGUAGGAAUACCCGCUGAACUUAAGCAUAUCAAUAAGCGGAGGA
rnacentral:misc_RNA from 1 species